rnacentral:rRNA from 1 species
CGUAGGCGGUUUUUUAAGUCAGAUGUGUAAUCCCCGAGCUUAACUUGGGAACUGCAUCUGAGACUGGAAGGCUAGAGUACUGGAGAGGGUGGUGGAAUUCCUCGUGUAGCGGUGAAAUGCGUAGAGAUGAGGAGGAACACCAGUGGCGAAGGCGGCCACCUGGACAGUAACUGACGCUGAGGCGCGAAAGUGUGGGUAGCAAACAGGAUUAGAUACCCUGGUAGUCCACGCUGUAAACGAUGAACACUUGGUGUGGAGGGAGUUGACCCCUUCCGUGCCGGAGCUAACGCGUUAAGUGUUCCGCCUGGGGAGUACGGUCGCAAGGCUGAA